rnacentral:tRNA from 3 species
CGCGGAGUAGAGCAGUGGUAGCUCGUCGGGCUCAUAACCCGGAGGUCGUAGGUUCGAGUCCUGCCUCCGCCACCA